GGUUACGAGCAGAAGGUCAUUUCAGGCUUCGAUAUUCUAUAAAACUAGAAGCUAUCUAGACAGUAAUUCAACAGAUAUCUGGGUAGAAACACUUCGUUACAUCAAGCUACGAGAAAGUAUAUCAUCAUCUCACAGAAUUCUACUCGAACACCGCAUCGAAAUCAGUAGCCGUUAUCAAAAGCAGUCAUGAAGUUGCUCAUCUUAGCACUGGUGGUGAUGAUGGUGGUGUGUGUCCUUGCUGAUUCAAGCGAAAACUCUGAACCUGAAAGCGAUGAAUCGGGAGACAGGCACACCGAAGUGGAACUGCAGCCUGGUUGUACUAAUGGUUGCAUGGAGGAUGAUGGGGAAAAAGCAUCGACGGAGUAAUUGGUAACGUCUAGUGGAACUUGUGAAACAACACACCAUCAUCGUACAAUCAACGUCACUCUCAUUUCAUCCAUGACAACGGAAGCUCAUCGAAACUGUGACAGCCGCCAACCUCC